rnacentral:rRNA from 1 species
CAAGAAUUUUAUCCUGGCUCAGGACGAACGCUGGCGGCGUGCUUAACACAUGCAAGUCGAACGGAAAGGCCCUGCUUUUGUGGGGUGCUCGAGUGGCGAACGGGUGAGUAACACGUGAGUAACCUGCCCUUGACUUUGGGAUAACUUCAGGAAACUGGGGCUAAUACCGGAUAGGAGCUCCUGCUGCAUGGUGGGGGUUGGAAAGUUUCGGCGGUUGGGGAUGGACUCGCGGCUUAUCAGCUUGUUGGUGGGGUAGUGGCUUACCAAGGCUUUGACGGGUAGCCGGCCUGAGAGGGUGACCGGCCACAUUGGGACUGAGAUACGGCCCAGACUCCUACGGGAGGCAGCAGUGGGGAAUAUUGCACAAUGGGCGGAAGCCUGAUGCAGCAACGCCGCGUGCGGGAUGACGGCCUUCGGGUUGUAAACCGCUUUCGCCUGUGACGAAGCUUGUAGUGACGGUAAUGGGUAAAGAAGCACCGGCUA